GGGCGAUUAGCUCAGCUGGGAGAGCGCCUGCCUUACAAGCAGGAUGUCGGCGGUUCGAACCCGUCAUCGCCCACCA
rnacentral:tRNA from 1 species